GUAGGUGGCAAGCGUUGUCGGGAAUUAUUGGGCGUAAAGCGCGCGCAGGCGGUCCUUUAAGUCUGAUGUGAAAGCCCACGGCUCAACCGUGGAGGGUCAUUGGAAACUGGGGGACUUGAGUACAGAAGAGGAAAGCGGAAUUCCAAGUGUAGCGGUGAAAUGCGUAGAGAUUUGGAGGAACACCAGUGGCGAAGGCGGCUUUCUGGUCUGUAACUGACGCUGAGGCGCGAAAGCGUGGGGAGCAAACAGGGAUUAGAUACCCUGGUAGUCCACGCCGUAAACGAUGAGUGCUAAGUGUUAGGGGGUUUCCCGCCCCUUAGUGCUGCAGCUAACGCAUUAAGCACUCCGCCUGGGGAGUACGGCCGCAAGGCUG
rnacentral:rRNA from 1 species